rnacentral:tRNA from 1 species
AAUUGCUGUGGUAGGAGCUGCCGAAGGCUGCGAUCUUUUGAUGUUGUUGUUAAAAGCAACAUCAAAAGAUCGCAGCCUUCGGCAGCUCC